rnacentral:rRNA from 1 species
GAUGAACGCUGACAGAAUGCUUAACACAUGCAAGUCUACUUGAAUUUGGGUUUUUUAACUUAGAUUUGGGUGGCGGACGGGUGAGUAACGCGUAAAGAACUUGCCUCACAGCUAGGGACAACAUUUGGAAACGAAUGCUAAUACCUGAUAUUAUGAUUAUAAGGCAUCUUAGAAUUAUGAAAGCUAUAUGCGCUGUGAGAGAGCUUUGCGUCCCAUUAGCUAGUUGGAGAGGUAACGGCUCACCAAGGCGAUGAUGGGUAGCCGGCCUGAGAGGGUGAACGGCCACAAGGGGACUGAGACACGGCCCUUACUCCUACGGGAGGCAGCAGUGGGGAAUAUUGGACAAUGGACCAAGAGUCUGAUCCAGCAAUUCUGUGUGCACGAUGACGUUUUUCGGAAUGCAAAGUGCUUUCAGUUGGGAAGAAAAAAAUGACGGUACCAACAGAAGAAGUGACGGCUAAAUACGUG